rnacentral:rRNA from 1 species
UGGGGAAUAUUGCACAAUGGGCGCAAGCCUGAUGCAGCAACGCCGCGUGCGGGAUGACGGCCUUCGGGUUGUAAACCGCUUUCAGCAGGGACGAAGCGCAAGUGACGGUACCUGCAGAAGAAGCACCGGCUAACUACGUGCCCGCAGCCGCGGUGAUACGUAGGGUGCGAGCGUUGUCCGGAUUUAUUGGGCGUAAAGAGCUUGUAGGCGGUUAGUCGCGUCGUGGUGCAAACGCAGGGCUUAACCCUGAGCCUGCUUUCGAUACGGGCGGACUAGAGGAAGGUAGGGGGGAAGGGAAUUCCCGGUGGAGCGGUGGAAUGCGCAGAUAUCGGGAGGAACACCAGUGGCGAAGGCGGUUCUCUGGACCUUUCCUGACGCUGAGAAGCGAAAGCGUGGGGAGCAAACA